UACGUAGGUGGCGAGCGUUGUCCGGAUUUACUGGGCGUAAAGAGCGCGCAGGCGGUCGUACAAGUCGCGUGUGAAAGCCCCCGGCUCAACUGGGGAGGGUCACGCGAUACUGUUCGACUCGAAGGCAGGAGAGGGAAGUGGAAUUCCCGGUGUAGUGGUGAAAUGCGUAGAUAUCGGGAGGAACACCAGUGGCGAAGGCGGCUAUCUGGACGGUUUCUGACGCUGAGGCGCGAAAGCGUGGGGAGCAAACAGG
rnacentral:rRNA from 1 species